rnacentral:misc_RNA from 1 species
UUGCCUUCCCGUCGUGUGGAAAAAUUCGUCAGACAGCCCCGCACCUGUCCUCCUUGUGGCUUUGCGGCUGCAAUGCGGACCUCGAAGGCAGUCCCCGUGUCCCGGACAUAUCCUCUGACUUUUGUCGUGGCUGUCUCGGUCCACAGGACAACUGCUCGUGCUCUCGGAUGUGGAAAAUUAAGCGGACGUGGGGGGGUCUUGGCCUCCGGUUGCUCCAAUCAAGUCCCUCGAUAAGAAUGACUCUCGCUACCUCAUUGAUCGCAGGCCGUCUAGGCCCGUGGCAUCAAUGAUGGUCCGAAGUCGAUAACGAAUGCUACCUGGUUGAUCCUGCCAGUAGUCAUAUGCUUGUCUCAAAGAUUAAGCCAUGCAUGUGUAAGUAA